GACUAUUUCAAAGGAUGUUCUACCUAAUUCGAAUGGGCUUUAAGUGCCAUCUUCACAAUAGCGCCAGAGUCUGGUGUCAGCAAACUGAACAAAUAGAGCUACAGGGAGCGAAUGGGGCUGGGUGCCUCUCCAAAACAUAUGCAGAUGAACUUGAGAUUUCAGAGGACGGUUAAUCCUACACAGCAGUCAAGUGCCUUCCCAGGGGUAUGUCUCAGAUCUCAGGU
rnacentral:lncRNA from 1 species